rnacentral:rRNA from 1 species
AGAGGUUACUGCUAUCGGAGUUCGAUUAAGCCAUGCGAGUCUAAAGGUUCCUUCGGAAACCUUGGCGGACUGCUCAGUAACACGUGGAUAACCUACCCUUGGGACUGGAAUAACCCCGGGAAACUGGGGAUAAUACCGGAUAGAUCAGGGAUGCUGGAAUGCACCUUGAUCCAAAGCUCCGGCGCCCAAGGAUGGGUCUGCGGCCUAUCAGGUUGUAGUGGGUGUAAUGUACCUACUAGCCGACGACGGGUACGGGUUGUGAGAGCAAGAGCCCGGAGAUGGAUUCUGAGACACGAAUCCAGGCCCUACGGGGUGCAGCAGGCGCGAAAACUUUACAAUGUGCGAAAGCAUGAUAAGGGAACUCCGAGUGCCAGUAUCUAAUACUGGCUGUCCUUGUGCCUAAAACGCACAAGAUAGCAAGGGCCGGGUAAGACCGGUGCCAGCCGCCGCGGUAACACCGGCGGCCCGAGUGGUAGCCGCUAUUAUUGGGUCUAAAGGGUCCGUAGCCGGUUCGAUAAGUCCUCUGGGAAAUCUGGUUGCUUAACAAUCAGACUGCCAAGGGAUACUGUCGAACUUGAGACCGGGAGAGGUAAGAGGUACUUCAGGGGUAGGAGUGAAAUCUUGUAAUCCCUGGGGGACCAUCUGUGGCGAAGGCGUCUUACCAGAACGGGUCUGACGGUGAGGGACGAAAGCUGGGGGCGCAAACCGGAUUAGAUACCCGGGUAGUCCCAGCCGUAAACGAUGCUCGCUAUGUGUCAGGUACGGUGUGACCGUAUCUGGUGCCGUAGGGAAGCCGUGAAGCGAGCCACCUGGGAAGUACGGUCGCAAGACUGAAACUUAAAGGAAUUGGCGGGGGAGCACUACAACGGGUGGAGCCUGCGGUUU